rnacentral:lncRNA from 1 species
UGCUGUGUCACUCUAAGCUUUUAAGCGUGAGUGUUGUGUUUCUUGAUUAAAGCUUUUAAGCACAAUCAAGAGUUGUUUGAAGUAUAUCUUCACCAUUGACUUUAAAAUUAUUAAAGGUUGUAAUCGCUGCUGUGAUUGAGGGGGAGUGAGUAGGUACUCAGGUCUUAGUGUAGAUUGAAAUUGCAUUGGGUAGGUCUUAAGUGAUAGGAUUAAACAUGUGGUUUAAGUCCUG